rnacentral:rRNA from 1 species
GACGAACGCUGGCGGCGUGCUUAACACAUGCAAGUCGGGCGGUAAGGCCUCCCUUGUGGGGUACACGAGCGGCGAACGGGUGAGUAACACGUGGGUGACCUGCCCUUAGCUCUGGGAUAAGCCUGGGAAACCGGGUCUAAUACUGGAUAUGACUCCAUGUCGCAUGGUGUGGGGUGGAAAGCCUUGUGCGGCUAGGGAUGGGCCCGCGGCCUAUCAGCUUGUUGGUGGGGUGAUGGCCUACCAAGGCGACGACGGGUAGCCGGCCUGAGAGGGCGACCGGCCACACUGGGACUGAGACACGGCCCAGACUCCUACGGGAGGCAGCAGUGGGGAAUCUUGCGCAAUGGGCGAAAGCCUGACGCAGCGACGCCGCGUGAGGGAUGACGGCCUUCGGGUUGUAAACCUCUUUCAGCCCUGACGAAGCGAGAGUGACGGUAGGGGCAGAAGAAGCACCGGCCAACUACGUGCCAGCAGCCGCGGUAAUACGUAGGGUGCAAGCGUUGUCCGGAAUUAUUGGGCGUAAAGAGCUCGUAGGCGGUCUGUCGCGUCGGCUGUGAAAACUCGGGGCUCAACCCCGAGCUUGCAGUCGAUACGGGCAGGCUGGAGUUCGGCAGGGGAGACUGGAAUUCCUGGU